rnacentral:misc_RNA from 1 species
GCGGGAGUCGCUACUCCAGAUCUAGGUCGAGGUCACGCUCUUACAGCCCUCGGUGUGAAGAAAGAAAAAUGAAGAGAUGUAUCGGGUAACUUCAUUUUGAAGAGGGUAUUUGAAGAUUUGAAAAAUGAAGAAAGAAAAAUUGAGAAGUAGGAAUGAAGAGUUGAUCAGAUCAGAAAAUGAAGAGAAUUUAGUGAAGUAGGGAGGAGGAUAGAAAAUUGAAAGUGUAGGGAAUUUGAAGAGAAUGGGUAUUAAAUGAAGAUAGAAAAGGGUUUUGCAAUUGAAAAAAGAAGAAGGGCAAAAGGUGAAGAAAAGACAGGGUAAGACCAACAAUUUCCUUCCAGUCUUUGAAAAAGUCUCGGUUAUUUAGGCCCCAGUUUUCCUCCUGAAGGAUAUGCCAUACAUUUAGUAAUCAAUGAUUUGCAUGUUCAAAUUUAGAUUGUCAAUUCAAAUUUGAAAGACAAGUUAUUACAGUAAUUUAAUUGUUAUUGGCCCCUUUCGAAAUAAUCAAUGCAUGGUUAAACAGUUUACUAACUGAACAUCCUGAUCUACAAUGACCAGUUAUUGAAUCUUGACACUUUGUGCUCAGCGCAACCUUAUAAAGGAACAGGUUCAAGGGUACAGAAGUUUGGCUGAUGGAAAGAAAUUGCAAGGGUUAAGGGUUACUGGUAUUAAACAGCAAAUAUAUAUGUACAUAUGACAGCUGCUUUGUUUCAGAAUUGUGGUGUAAAUCUAGAAAAAGAAGGAUGGUAAGUUUUGAGAAGGGAAAUGUAAUGAAAUCUUAGCAAAAAAAAUAAUUUAAGGAAAUGAACAUUUUAAAUAAUGGUAGCAAGAAAAUCUUCAAUUAUAUGACCUCUAAUGCUACUGCUGUUGUGGAAUAAUUAAUAUUCAGGAUGAUUUUGGUCCACUUACUUAUUUUCUUAUUUAUUAAUGUUAAUGUUUAAACCAAAAGCUAAUGGUUAUAAGGCAUAUUGAGUUUUAAACAUAAAACCUAGGAAGUAUGAUAUUUUAUUUAAGAAUUUCCAGCAAGAUCGGAUUACAACUACCCACUCGCACCAAGUUGGUAAAGCCACUAGUGAUGGAGUUAUUGGACUUGGUUUGAUAUCCUAGUGAUGAAAACGAGUGUUAGUUUCUUGAUAUAUACAUCAGAAAUGUCAAAUCUUUUGUAGAUAUUGAAUAAAAAAAAUUGGUGAACAUUG